ensembl:lncRNA novel transcript
AAGGAAAGAGAAGUGGGAGGAGCGGGGAGCUCGGCGUCCCGCGUCCUCCGCGGCUCAGGACGACUACGCUCGGCACGUCCGGGACCCUCCGGCCGUGGCGGUUGCAGCGCCAAAAGCUCGGGCCUCAGCCCCUGACGCUGUGGUGACUCCGCCGCGCCUCGCCGUCGCCCCUGUCCCCGUCCUGCCCGCCGCCUCCGCCGCUGGGGACAUGUCCAACCCCGGAAGCCGGAGGAACGGGCCCGUCAAGCUGCACCUGACAGGUAUAUUGAAAAGUCUGAUUCAGUUACAAUCAGUGUAUGGAAUCACAAGAAGAUCCAUAAGAAACAAGGUGCUGGAUUUCUCCGUUGUGUUCAUCUUUUUCCAGUGCCAUCAACCACCUCAAAGACACUGGUUAUCAGAGGUUGGAUUUAUGCAAACCUGGGCCAAAGGACAGUUAGAAGACGUGCUGAUGGGCCCGUGCAACAGUUGCUGGUAAAUGGCUGAUUAAAAAGCACAGAAAGCCGAACAAGACCCAACCAAAUUUGGUAAUUCAUCCGAUUCAAAAUUGUUUUGGUUAAAUCAAAAAUACAAGUACACGACCGCAGGAAAGUGCGUCUUAACUCAUUUGAUCACUUUGUCUUGCUUGGGAAAUGCAGUUUCGUGUCACCUGUUGCAGAAGAUGUGUAGUUGAUCAUCUAGACAUAAUUGCCGAAGAUGAACUUUUGGACAACUUCUGAGUCACACAGCAUCAGUAUCAGAUUUCUUACACAAUGACUUUCACUUUUCUCUCUAUUUCUGAGGAAAAAGCCCUCCCGAAAUCCGUAAUGAAUUUCUCCAUGGUAACCCCUCUUCUGUUUUCACACAGAAAAGUUUCUCUAGGCUGGUGCUGAGAUGCAUUUUGUUAAACACAAUCACCACCCCACCACGCGCCCCCCACCCCCCGCGCUCCCCAAGGCUGCUUUGUAUUAAAUACGUAGUUGCAAUUUC